GUGAGUAAUCAGUUGUGGGUGGCUCUAGUGAAGCCCUCUCACAUCUCUUUAUUCACAG
rnacentral:pre_miRNA from 1 species